AUGGUUGACCUCGGAUCAGGUAGGACUACCCGCUGAACUUAAGCAUAUCA
rnacentral:rRNA from 1 species